rnacentral:rRNA from 1 species
GACGAACGCUGGCGGCGUGCUUAACACAUGCAAGUCGAACGGAAAGGCCCUGCUUUUGUGGGGUGCUCGAGUGGCGAACGGGUGAGUAACACGUGAGUAACCUGCCCUUGACUUUGGUAUAACUUCAGGAAACUGGGGCUAAUACCGGAUAGGAGCUCCUGCUGCAUGGUGGGGGUUGGAAAGUUUCGGCGGUUGGUGAUGGACUCGCGGCUUAUCAGCUUGUUGGUGGGGUAGUGGCUUACCAAGGCUUUGACGGGUAGCCGGCCUGAGAGGGUGACCGGCCACAUUGGGACUGAGAUACGGCCCAGACCCCUACGGGAGGCAGCAGUGGGGAAUAUUGCACAAUGGGCGGAAGCCUGAUGCAGCAACGCCGCGUGCGGGAUGACGGCCUUCGGGUUGUAAACCGCUUUCGCCUGUGACGAAGCGUGAGUGACGGUAAUGGGUAAAGAAGCACCGGCUAACUACGUG